UGGGGAAUUUUGCACAAUGGGGGAAACCCUGAUGCAGCGACGCCGCGUGAUUUAGAAGGCCUUCGGGUUGUAAAAAUCUUUUCUAUGGGAAGAAAAUGACAGUACCAUAGGAAUAAGGACCGGCUAAUUACGUGCCAGCAGCCGCGGUAAUACGUAAGGUCCGAGCGUUGUCCGGAAUCAUUGGGCGUAAAGGGUACGUAGGCGGGUAAGCAAGUUAGAAGUGAAAUCCUGUAGCUCAACUACAGUAAGCUUUUAAAACUGCUCAUCUUGAGUUAUGGAAGGGAAAGUGGAAUUCCUAGUGUAGCGGUGAAAUGCGCAGAUAUUAGGAGGAAUACCGGUGGCGAAGGCGACUUUCUGGCCAUAAUCUGACGCUGAGGUACGAAAGCGUGGGUAGCAAACAGG
rnacentral:rRNA from 1 species